GGGAAAGUGGCUCAGUGGUAGAGUGCUUGCCUUGCAUGCAUGAGGCCCUGGGUUCGUUUCCUCAGCACCA
rnacentral:tRNA from 1 species